UACGUAGGUGGCAAGCGUUGUCCGGAUUUACUGGGUGUAAAGGGCGUGCAGCCGGAGAGACAAGUCAGAUGUGAAAUCCACGGGCUCAACCCGUGAACUGCAUUUGAAACUGUUUCCCUUGAGUGUCGGAGAGGUAAUCGGAAUUCCUAGUGUAGCGGUGAAAUGCGCAGAUAUUAGGAAGAACACCAGUGGCGAAGGCGGAUUACUGGACGAUAACUGACGGUGAGGCGCGAAAGCGUGGGGAGCAAACAGG
rnacentral:rRNA from 1 species